rnacentral:rRNA from 1 species
GACGAACGCUGGCGGCGUGCUUAACACAUGCAAGUCGAACGGAAAGGCCCUGCUUUUGUGGGGUGCUCGAGUGGCGAACGGGUGAGUAACACGUGAGUAACCUGCCCUUGACUUUGGGAUAACUUCAGGAAACUGGGGCUAAUACCGGAUAGGAGCUCCUGCUGCAUGGUGGGGGUUGGAAAGUUUCGGCGGUUGGGGAUGGACUCGCGGCUUAUCAGCUUGUUGGUGGGGUAGUGGCUUACCAAGGCUUUGACGGGUAGCCGGCCUGGGAGGGUGACCGGCCACAUGGGGACUGAGAUACGGCGCAGACUCCUACGGGAGGCAGCAGUGGGGAAUAUUGCACAAUGGGCGGAAGCGUGAUGCAGAAACGUCGCGUGCGGGAUGACGGCCUUCGGGUUGUAAACCGCUUUCGCCUGUGACGAAGCGUGAGUGACGGUAAUGGGUAAAGAAGCACCGGCUAACUACGUG